UUAUUGGGACAUAUAAAAAAAGACAACUCUGUUCCACAGAGUAGCUGUUGACAUUAUAGUUGAGCAGGAACUUUGUUGACUCUAGAGAACCUCGGGCAAUUUGCACAUCCACGUGGCGGCGACUUUGCAUGCGGAUGUCAUCCAUAUCAACUUUUGAUGCCAGUUUCUGUGCCUACCAUGGUGACCACGGGUAACGGGGAAUCAGGGUUCUAUUCCGUACAGGGACCCUGAGAAACGACUACCACAUGCAAGGAAGGCAGCAGGCGCGCAAAUGCCCCACUCCCGAACCAGGAAGGUAGUGAUGA